GCAUUCACAAAGCCAAAAUGGGUUCCUCUUUUGAACCCUAAAAAUCAUAAAAUUCAAUCAAAUUCAAGAAGGAAAUCAAGUCUAAAUCAAAACCAAGCUGAAUUUAGUGAUCACUCAAGUUAGAGGAUCACAAGGCAAGGUGGUUGAAUCUUCAAGCGGCCAAGUUGGAGCGGACACGCGCUUGAAGGAUAAGCUUUGAAAGGUGAAUGACAUAGGCCUCCGGAUGAAGAUCAAGCAAUGAACAAGAACCGAACACACGUCUAAAUGAAGCUUCCGUAUUUGAUCUUGUUUUGUUUUAUAAAAAGUGAAUUAUGU